AACAGGCGUUAUGUUCAGCUUUAUCUGUCAAAAAAGUUGUUAAUAUGACGUACGGUGUGAAGAUAUGUUUUUAAAGAUAAGACUAAACUACUUUAAAUUAAAGUGCAACAAAGAAAUUCACAUAGUUUUAAUUUUCACAUUUAUAUAGAGGGUUCUGCGAGAAAAGGUAAUGAGAUGCUUUUUGGAUUAUUUUCUUGUAUUUCAGCUGCAUCAUCUGAUAUCACAUUGAAACCUGCGGGAUGGAUGGAAUGAAAAAGCCAAAAUUAGCGGCAUUUUUUAUCGUUAAUACCACGAAUGAAUGUAUCGGGGCAUAUGGAAAUUCGCCAAAGAGUAUGAGCCAAACUUCAUACAACAAACCAAGCCAACAGAUAUGUAAAAGGAGCGCAUAUAAUUAUUAUCGACGCAUGAAAACCAAUGCAUAGACGAUUCAUUUAAAUUUCCUGAUGAAAGAUAUGAUGUCAUUCAGAUUAGAUAAUGUUGUUUGUGUACUUCUUGAGGUUAAGGUGAUGAUCCAACGAAGCGUCGUCUGAUACAAUCGUCCGUCAUUUGGUUGCAUGGAAAGUGCUGUUAUCUGGAGUCUGAAAUUUGUUUGGUGUGAAACCUUUUUGGAUGUUGUCCUAAUGGAGUUAUGGAGGAUGUUUAUAAAGGUACGAGAUAAACAUUAUAAUGGCAAGCAAUUCUUAACGGCAAUAACUGUAAGUCCUUUUUGAGCAACAUAGGAUGACCCAUACUCUUUAUUAGUGGCUUAGAAUUAUUGCAGACGAAAAUAUAUCAGGGAUAUGUUCAGCAAGACUCUCGGAUAAGAAUUUUGCUUGGACUAUGAAACAUAUUUUGGCGAUCUAAUCGAGGUACAAUUGGGAUUCCAGCCAUUUCAUUUUACAUUGUGACAUUUUUUUCAAGUCUAGAGAUCAAGAUUAUGUUUCACUUUAAACCGUGAUAUGAUUUUUAAUCGAGUGAGGACCGUUGAAUUGAAUGUGUUUUGUCUAUAGAGGUUUAAUUUAAACUAGCCAUUCAACGUAAAGAGUGAAGACAGAUAGUCGUAAUACUGGGUCCUUUUCCUCAAGGCACUUAGGUUUUGUUAAAGAUAUCUGCUGAUUGAACGACGACAAACACUGCAAUCAACAGAACGGAUCCAUUCCUAACGCAACUCCUCACUCCGUAAUUUUGUUACUUCUUGAACUUAUUUACUGGUUAUAUUCUUGAACUGGUUUAACCUAUACAGUGAUAUUUUUCUUGCUUACUCCAGUGCUGAAUUUUUUUGUUUAGAUCUUCAAUGUAACCGCGGUUUGAGAGACAUUGAAAAAAAUUUAUCUCCUCCAGCUGUAAGCCAUCGAGUCGUUUUUAUUCAGUAGAUUUAUCCUUUUUUUUUCUUGGAAAACUUGCGUCAUGGGCUACAAUUGUAUUGUUGCUAGUUUUCGUCUUCGGACACAUUCGUCGUAUUUUCCCGUCGUCGUUCAUCGUCGUAAACCAACGGCGGUGUCACCAAUUUUAAGCCAUUGACAGGUCAAAAUAACGGCGGACAAUGAUGCGCAAUGUGAUAUUUAUGGGGUACGUAGACUGGCUCCGACUUGAGCAGUGAUGCAAAUCUUGGUGAUUUAUGGUGACAAAAACUUGCAAGUUUUUUAUCAUUUACAACAAUAAGUCGAUAUAAUAUUCACAGAUAGCUAUAUAUGAUCUAAUUUCAGCCACGACAGUUCAGCUAGACAUGAUAUUUCAAAAGUCAGGCGACUCUUUUCUAGGUUUAACUACUCUGGGUGGUACCAGUUUGUACAGAAUCAGGUUUCCAGAUAAAGCGUUUUAGAUAACCACUUGUAGCAGACUUUCAGAACAGCAGAAACACGGUUAAACGUGAACUUCGAGAAUUUUCUUAUGUAGGAAAAACAACUAUUUCUGUUAGGGAUGUUGAAGGUAAAGUUGCUCCUUAAUACUUUGAUUCAGAUGGGAUACAUGAUCUAUAUAUCGAUAUGGUUGUUGGUGGAUAUCCAGGUGAGAUUGGAUACAUCAUCUAUAUAUCGGUAUGGUUGUUGGUGGAUAUCCAGGGGAGUUUUGACUCAUGACGUAGGAAAUUGUCGACGUGGGAUCGGUCACGUAAAUGGAUGAUGGCAUGAUAAGAUCACGUCUUUUCCAAAUUCAUCUUCUCCAGAAUUAUGUUGCAGUAGAACUCCCUUGCUUGAAUUAUAUCAACAUAUUGUACAUUAGUGUGCUUGUUAGUUGAUGUCCAGAAUGAUUUUGAUGAUUUAGUACAAUACGUAGAAUUUGUUGGCAAACAAUGAAUAUGACAAUAUUAAGAGCUUGGAAAUUUACGUUUCUUAGAAGUAUAACUUUCUUGGAAAGUUAAAUUUCUUGGAAGUAUAACUUUCUUGAGGAAUGUGUAUGCCACACAUUGUCGUUGCUAGUUUAUUCCAGAGCAUUAAUGCCGCACGAAAAAUUGUUUGGCAGUGGGUGAAUUUGGCAAGGAAUUUCAGUACAAGGAAACAGAGAUGAAAUUUGCUACGGGUGAGAUGUUACGUUGUGUUCCAGGAAUUGGUGUUCAAGCUAUCCACAUGUGAACAGUUUCAGUUACCAAGGUUUUGGGAAUUAGAACUGCAGCAAUUAUUGGCAACAUCGCUUAAGGAAACAAGUUCUUCCAAAGUAAUGCUAUCCAGAAUGACGAAGCGGGAAUUGAAGGUAUUUCACCAGGGACAAUCUUAUUCUCCAUAUCAGCCUCAGUACUCCGACGUUUAAAAAUAGCGGAAAGACGGAACGACGUUGCACGCGGU